GCCGUCAUGGUGUAAUGGCGAGCACACUCGGCUCGUAUUCGAGAAGUCCGUGGUUCGAGUCCCGGCGAGGGUA
rnacentral:tRNA from 1 species